rnacentral:rRNA from 1 species
UACGUAGGGUGCAAGCGUUGUCCGGAAUUAUUGGGCGUAAAGGGCUCGUAGGCGGUCCAUCACGUCGGGAGUGAAAAGCUGGGGCUUAACCCCAGUCCUGCUUCCGAUACGGGUGGACUAGAGGUAGGCAGGGGAGAACGGAAUUCCUGGUGUAGCGGUGAAAUGCGCAGAUAUCAGGAGGAACACCGGUGGCGAAGGCGGUUCUCUGGGCCUUACCUGACGCUGAGGAGCGAAAGCCAGGGGAGCAAACGGG